rnacentral:rRNA from 1 species
ACAAAGAGCAGCAAGUUCGCGAGGACAAGCAAAUCUCAUAAACCGUGGCUCAGUUCAGAUCGUAGGCUGCAACUCGCCUACGUGAAGGAGGAAUCGCUAGUAAUCGCAGGUCAGCAUACUGCGGUGAAUACGUUCCCGGGCCUUGUACACACCGCCCGUCACACCAUGGAAGUUGGCCACGCCCGAAGUCGUUACUCCAACCCUUGUGGAGGAGGACGCCGAAGGUGGGGCUGAUGACUGGGGUGAAGUCGUAACAAGGUAGCCGUACCGGAAGGUGCGGCUGGAUCACCUCCUAAC